rnacentral:rRNA from 1 species
GACGAACGCUGGCGGCGUGCUUAACACAUGCAAGUCGAACGGAAAGGCCCUGCUUUUGUGGGGGGCUCGAGUGGCGAACGGGUGAGUAACACGUGAGUAACCUGCCCUUGACUUUGGGAUAACUUCAGUAAACUGGGGCUAAUACCGGAUAGGAGCUCCUGCUGCAUGGUGGGGGUUGGAAAGUUUCGGCGGUUGGGGAUGGACUCGCGGCUUAUCAGCUUGUUGGUGGGGUAGUGGCUUACCAAGUCGUUGACGGGUAGCCGGCCUGAGAGGGUGACCGGCCACAUUGGGACUGAGAUACGGCCCAGACUCCUACGGGAGGCAGCAGUGGGGAAUAUUGCACAAUGGGCGGAAGCCUGAUGCAGCAACGCCGCGUGCGGGAUGACGGCCUUCGGGUUGUAACCCGCUUUCGCCUGUGACGAAGCGUGAGUGACGGUAAUGGGUAAAGAAGCACCGGCUAACUACGUG